UAUUAUCUCAAGCUAACUUGAAUUGGGUAAUAAAAGACAUUUUACUCUAUUAAAGAAAAGCUAGGCAUUUCCUGAAAUAUCAAUUAGUUUGGAAGCAAUUCACCUAGAUGUCAUGCGAACCCUAAAAUAAAAUAAAAAAUCUAGACUGGUUAUGUAUAUUUGCCUGUUGAAAAAGAUCUAGAUGAUUUUUUAAAAUGCUAAAUGUUAUUUUCUAAUAAGUAUUUUUUUAAAAAGUUGGUCACCAGACUUCCCCUAAGCAGUAAGAGAUAUCCAAAUUUUUAUAUAAAGUGGAAUUAUGAAACCUGAUUAUGUACAACUGCUGUUCUACCAUGUUUGGGCUACAUUGGUAGGAAUACCUGUUAGCUGUGCAUUUUCAAAGAUUGCUUAUACUUGGAGAUUAUGAAUGUUUGGCCACUCCCAGUUGGAGCCAGGCCUAUAUUGAUCAAGGAUAAUGAAAGGAAAUACUGAUGAUGGUAUUUCUUUGACAGUUUCAGUUAAGAGGAAAUAUUAGUCUGAAUUAGAGUGUAACAAAGGGAAUGAGGAUCCAGUAAGUUAAAGAAGAUAGAACUUGAUUUGUCCUUUACAUAACAAUCUGAACUGAGUGGUUCAAUUCUGCUCCAUGAAGUUAUCCAGGAAUUCAGGUUCUUUCCAUUGAUUGCAGUAUUAUCCUCCAGGACUGUCAUCUUCUGUAUGGCAGAGACAGGGUCAGCUGCCAUCCCAGCUGGUGAUAAGGGGAAAGAUAACAUGGAAGCAUACACAUAGUCCUAAGACUUAGGUCCAUAAGGGACACCUAUCACAUUAAAUUCCGUGGAGAAAAGAAGUCCACUAUGAAAAGGAGGCUGGAAUAUUCCAUUUAGUCUUGCAUGCAGGAAUAAAAGGAGAGUAUCUUUUGGUAGACAACUAAUACUUUCACUUCUUGGUUUGUGCUGUUUGUUGAUCCUAUUGAAGUUUCUUGAUGAUGUGCAGUCUUUUCUCUGUGAAAAGGAUAAAAUUGAUACGGUUUCUGAAUGGACCCUUAAAUUGGAGGAAUAAUGCCACCUUUAUUUUUCUGUAGACUGUGUUUUCCACCUGCCUCUACUGGUGAAAAAUAAUAAUCUUUUAUUGGGCUACAGGCUAAACAAGAGUCAAAGAUACCAUAGAGGAGAGGUCGAGUUCCCUCCACUGCAGCACCAAGUGGAGUAUAUAAAGCCACACUGCUGUGGCAUAGUCCACUAGCUGUGAGAGACAGAUGCAUUACAAGGGGAUGGAUUUAGUGCACUCUUUCCUCUCUUACUGUGGCAUUUACCUGCCUUUUAACAAUAUUCUGUCCUGCAGCACAGCCUGAACACCCAGUAAAUGAUGAAACAAAACUUCUUCCCAAGCCUCAAUGAGGAUUGUGCCAUGGUUUAGAGGUAGGAGAAUUUCAAGCCAUUAAUCGUCUAUCAAUACUAAAUACCACCGAGAAUGGCUUCUUCAGGUCUAUCGGCUUAAUGCUGCUUCUGUGUUAUUCUUAGGCCAAAGAACAAUGGUCAACCCAGCAAUAAACUCAGUUUGGCUGAUUUCGGCCUUUAGUCUAACCUUCUCAGUUGGACCACACAGACAUUCUUCUCUUCAAUUUCAGGGUCUUUCCUUCAGGAAUUCUGUCAGGAAUAAGCAGCAAGUUUCCUACUGCUCUGGGUCCUCCUUAGACUCCUCUUAUUUCGUGUUCAGAGGAAUGAACUCCACAUCCUGUCUUAAACUCCACUUUCCUUCUAUUAUUUUGUUCACAUUUGACAUUGAUACUCAUUAAAACUAGAAUCUGAAUUGUUACCACCAAUGAUAUUGUUUACCUCUUUUUUUGCACCAGAGAGCUUAAUAUUUAAAAUGUUCUGUGAGAUAUGGGAAUGGUAUACUGUCUUUCUAGUGUGGCAAAAGAAGAGAGAGCAACAAAUUAUUGUGUUCAUAUUAAGAUUAUUUGAAUAUCAAUAUUUUGCCAAAUUUGUAUUUAAGUGUCCAUGCUAUUUUUAAUAAUUGGAUUGAUAUAAAUAGAUCUUAAGAAAUAGCAAAAGAAAGAAACCCAUUUUGUCAAAUUGGAGUCAGGGAGGCAUGGAAAUUCUCUUCAUUUUAAGUGCUCCUAAAUUCCGGCUUACUCUGUGGUUGAAUUUAUAUCAAUAAAGAGAAUUGGAGAUUAAGGCAAUUAAUCAGAAAUUUUAGUUAAAAAAGGAAUACAAAAAAAAAGUAAAGUUUCCUAUAGAAUUCUAGGGUUUGACAUUCACACAGUUAUUUCAUUAGGUAGAAUGGUAAGUCUUUGCUCUUAUGAAAAGAUUGUUCCCUAAUUGUCAUUGAGCAUAAGGUAAAAUGAAGAUAGAUUAUACAAAUAUCCUUAUUGAUUAAAAGUUUAAAAUUGCCAGUGUCCCAAGAAAUAUGCCUGAAUUCAAGGUUAUCUUAUUGUAAAGAAUAUCUUAUUGCAGUUUGUUUUUUUUUUUUCCUUAUUGUAAAUAAAGGGUCAACCAACAACUAAUAACUCACAACUGCAUCUUUUCUUGUUAGAACAUGUCGCCCAGCACUUUUUGAUUAGAUGUUCUCAGAUAAUAGCUGGGGCAGAUUGACCAAAGGAGAGCAAUUUUUUUUUAAUCAGGAUAACAUAAUAAUUCAAUCACAAACUUUAGAUAGGGCUAUGGAUAUCACCAAUUUUCUUUUUUUGUCUAUUAAUAGUGCUGUAUCUUUAGUGGAAUUGAAGACAUGACCUUCUGCAGGUUUCAAUACAACUUUAUAAAAGGCCAUAGCAAUGCCUUUAAAAUCAAAUCUAUUAACUGUUCUACAGAGAAGCCAGUUUUCUAGUAACUUGGCCAUAACUUAAAGACAGGGACCCUGAAAACAUCAAGCAUUUGCCUGAAAUAUGAAUUACCUCCCUGACUAAAUUCAGUAAUCUUGGCUCUUCUUCUCUGCAUGUAAGUCAUUUUGUGUACAUCAGUUUCUUCACCUAUGCAAGAAGAGAGUUGUCCAGCAUGUCCUGAGGUUCUUUCAGUUCUAAGUUCUUUGUAUAAUUUGAUUGGAGCCCAAGAGAUGUCCUAAAUCUGACUGGCAUGCAGUAAAUGUUUGUUGAUUAUGAAAAAAUAUUUGAGUUCCAAAUGGGUUGUAAAAUAUCUCGUGUGGACAUACUGUAGCAACUUAAUACUUAUAAUUUUGGGAGCAGAAUAAAUGUAAUUAAAUCACAAAUGCAAA